rnacentral:rRNA from 1 species
AGCAGUAGCCGCGGAAUACGUAGGUGGCAAGCGUUGUCCGGAAUUAUUGGGCGUAAAGGGCUCGCAGGCGGUUUCUUAAGUCUGAUGUGAAAGCCCCCGGCUCAACCGGGGAGGGUCAUUGGAAACUGGGAAACUUGAGUGCAGAAGAGGAGAGUGGAAUUCCGCGUGUAGCGGUGAAAUGCGUAGAGAUGUGGAGGAACACCAGUGGCGAAGGCGACUCUCUGGUCUGUAACUGACGCUGAGGAGCGAAAGCGUGGGGAGCGAACAGGAUUAGAUACCCCAGUAGUCCCUGUCUCUUAUACC